rnacentral:lncRNA from 12 species
AUGGAAAGGUCCUGAGUGCAAUGGGAAUCCCUGGAAAGGCUCUGAAUGCCAUGGGAAUGCCAUGGAAAGGUUCUGGGAAUCCCUGGAAAGGUCCUGAGUGCCGUGGAAAGGCUCUGAAACCCCUGGAGAAGCCCUGGCUGCCACAGGUAGCACACCUGGAGCACCUGCUCCCCCUUCCCAGCCCAUUCCCACACAGAAAACAGCCGAGUCCACAGGGAUGUGGGGCUGAGGGCACCCAACCCCCCCAGCCCCUCCUGGGGCUCCCCAGCACCGGGCACUGCCCCCCUCCCAAAAGUGGGAAUGCAGGGAAAAGUGGGAAUGCAUCCUUCUGCUGCGACAGCGCGUCCCAGCACCCCUGCUCUCCCAGCCAUCCCCCCAAAAAGGGCAUUUUCCAGCUGGAUUGGUGCUUGGGACAUUCCAGGCUGAGCCCAGGAAAGCUCCUGGAGCAGGGAGAGCAGGGCUGGGGAAACCUGGGGCGGCUGGAAAAGCUGGUGGGGGCAGGAAAAGUGAUGGGAAAGUGAUGGGAAAGUGAUGGGAAAGUGAUGGGAAAGUGAUGGGAAAGUGAGGGAAAAGUGAGGGAAAAGUGAGGGAAAAGUGAGGGAAAAGUGAGGGAAAAGUGAGGGAAAAGUGAGGGAAAAGUGAGGGAAAAGUGAGGGAAAAGUGAGGGAAAAGUGAGGGAAAAGUGAGGGAAAAGUGAGGGAAAAGUGAGGGAAAAGUGAGGGAAAAGUGAGGGAAAAGUGAGGGAAAAGUGAGGGAAAAGUGAGGGAAAAGUGAGGGAAAAGUGAGGGAAAAGUGAGGGAAAAGUGAGGGAAAAGUGAGGGAAAAGUGAGGGAAAAGUCAGGGAAAAGCAGGCAGGCAUCCUCCUGCUGAGGGCACAUCCAACCUGCCCCAAACCUCCCCAGGUGCUGCCCCUCAGACCAACAUUUCCCCAGGUAAAUCACCCCAGACCAACAUUUCCCCAUAUAAACCAUCUGGGACUCACCUUUUCCCAGGUAACCCAUCCCAGAUCCACCUUUUCCCAGAUAAAACAUCCUGGAACCACCUUUUCCCAGGUAACCCACUCCAAACCAACAUUUUCCCAUAUAAACCAUCUGGGACUCACCUAUUCCCAGGUAAAACAUCCCAGACCCACCUUUUCCCAGGUCAAACACCCUGG